rnacentral:misc_RNA from 1 species
GAUGAAGAACGCAGCGAAAUGCGAUAAGUAAUGUUAAUUGCAGAAUUCAGUGAAUCAUCGAAUCUUUGAACGCACAUUGCGCCCCCUGGAAUUCCGGGGGGCAUGCCUGUUCGAGCGUCUCAGGGACGAACCCUCGCGCGGGUGUACGCGCGGUCGUGGCUGCGGUGGCGUGCCCGAGGCGGCGGCCACCGCGCUGGAAUCCAUGGGCGGACGCCUGCCGCGUGGCCGAGCGUGAUAUGACGCAUUGGCGCUCGCACGCGGCGAGGCUGCCAGCCCUGGCCCGUCUGUCGGGCGGGGGAGAGCAAGACACGUGAACUCCUCGAAUCAGGUAGGGAUACCCGCUGAACUUAAGCAUAUCAAUAAGCGGAGGA